UUUACGUAGGUGAACCUGCGGAAGGAUCAUUAUUGUAUAACAGAGGUUCGAGGGCUGCGGCUGACCAGAACGGUUGUGCAAGUCAGAGUGUACCACCACACAACUAUCACACCCCUGUGUGCACCAUUGCGUGGGUCACCGUUUGGCCUGUUCGGAGAGGGGAUUACGUUUUCAAACAAACUCUGAAUGUAGUGUAGAAUGUAUUUUUUGAUUUUGUGACUUCGCAAUCACUACAACUUUCAACAAAGGAUAUCUUGGCACCCGCCUCGAUGAAGCAGG
rnacentral:misc_RNA from 1 species